UAAAAUCCCCUUUUAAAACAAAAUGGCUGGCUUAAUAUUUCAUUUUUCAUACACCCCCCUUCUCUCUGUUACAUCUCAUCUCCAAGCUUCUACUCAGAAACCCACUAAUUUCUCCCUUUUUUCAUAACUGAUUAGUGCACAGAUUAAUACAUUUUCCUUGUGUAUUGAGAGAGAGGGAGUGUGUGUGUGUGUGUGUGUGUGUGUGUGUGUGUUGGGGGGCAUGAAGGAUUUCUGCAUAAAACAAAAAUGGCUGCUGUGACUUAACUCCCCCCUUAUAAAAAUAUUUGGGGGGGGGCAUUAAUCAGUACUCAUGCUCAGUCUGACAUCAGCAUAAAUUGUUAAAGGUUAACUAGUUAGAUACUAGUCCAACUAGAUUGAAUUUUUCUUUUCUUUACUAGUCUUGUUCCUCCCCCCACCUCCCUUCUCUAAAGAAAAGCCUUUUUUUUUUUUUUUCUGAAUACUUCAGAAGGGAGUGGUUUGAUGUGAAGGUUUUUUUUUUUUCUUUCCCUUCAGGCAUUGAAAAGGAAAAAGAUGAAAUAUAUGUUUAUAUAUAACUCUCUACAUACCUCAUUGAAGUCAAAAUGCAUUUAAUUGUUGUACGUGUCUUCCUCCACCAUCCUCAUCACUGAUAAAGUGGAAGAAACUGAGGCACUGGGAGAAAGUAGCCGGGAAAAGCAAUGAGAUGUUCCUGGAUGCUAGAUAUUGCCAAAUCUCGGGAAUUUCCAAGAGACACAUUUGUUACAGAAGAAUGACUAGCAUAAAGAACUACAAAGAAACUGGAGAUGGCCGAAUGUUUUCAAGGACCUUCAGGAUGAUGGGCGUCUGUCUCUCCAUAACUUAUUUGACCUCAGCUGCAUAUAAGGAGCUAUAUGCAGCUAGUCCAGGCCAUGCUAGGGUUAUGCCUGUAGCCCUGGCUGUCACUGUCUGUUGUCCCUCCCUUGUGGCUGAAGAAAUGGCUUUUAAGGAGAGUAUUGUGUACAUAGUUAUUAAGCAAAAGCAUUUCUCCCGGGUUGGAGAAAUGGCUCAGCCCUUAAAAGCGCUGACUGCUCUUUCAGAGGUCCUGAGUUCAAUUCCCAGCAACCACAUGGUGUCUCACAACCAUCUAUAGUGAAACCUGGUGCCCUCUUCUGGCCAGCAGGCAUACAUGCAGGCAGAAGACUAUACAAAAAUAAAUAAAUAAAUAAAUAAGCAUUCCUCCCUUCUAAGAAGUAGCUGGAUGUUUUCUAACACCCUGUGCUUUCCCAUGCAGCUGCAGUCUGGCUUCUGUAACAGACACUAUCCAGGUGCUGCUUGCUAAAUCCACAGAUACCUCAGUCAUCUUAUCACUGGACCUCUGCCCAACCUUUGACACUCCUGCCUCAAGUGCACUCCAGCGUCCAUGGUACCCUCCACCCAGCUCUUUCUCCUCCCUGGCUCUGCUCUGUGAGUGUCCUUUUCAUCCUCCUGGCUUAGGCACUGAUCCUGCCAGGAUCUCUGCUCAGAUCUCUUUACUCACCAGGUGACUCAUCCUGUAGCUUGGCUACAGCUACUGCUGGCCAGGAAUUCCUGGCUGAACUGACCCAGAGCUCCAGUCCCAAAUAUUUUCAUGUCACAAAGUUACCACAGACAGUUAACUAACCCUCCUCUUCCAGCCCUCCUCCUCUUGCCACUGGAUUCACCAUCGUCCCGGCCUCUCAGGCCACACAGACCCUUGUGUGUCAUUCAUGGCUCUUCCUUACCUCUGACAUCUACCAGGUAAAUUGCUCUAACUUUAGUCCUCCUCUGGUCUCCACAGUCCUGGUGCUGGCUGCCCUCAUUUCUUUCCAAGUUGUUUAGGCUGGCAGUCUCUCCCACUGUCCCCUACUCUAUUCUAUUCUCUAUUGACAUUGUAGCCAUUUACAAAUGCUUAUCUGACUGUAUUUGGUGUUGCAAACCUUUAACCCCAGCAUUGGUAAGGCAAUCAGUCCAGUCUCUGAGUUUGAGGCCAGCCUAGUCUACAUCAGAAUUCCAGGCUAUAUAGUGAGAUUAUCUCAAAACCAAACAAACAACCCCCCUCAAAUAAAUGUGGGGCCUGCAGAUGGCUUAGCAGGUAAUGUAAAAAAUAAUUGUAAUGAAAAUCUAAAAAUGUCCUUCCCCUUAUAAAGCUCUUAACUCUGAAUUGUAUACUUUAAAGGGAUAAAUUUUGUUAUUUAUAUAUUUCAUGUCAGUUGUUUAUAAAAAGCAAAAUAGAACUGGGCGUUGGUGGCGCACGCCUUUCAUCCUAGCACUUGG